AGUGGCGAACGGGUGAGUAAUAUAUCGGAACGUGCCCAGUCGUGGGGGAUAACGUAGCGAAAGUUACGCUAAUACCGCAUACGAUCUACGGAUGAAAGCGGGGGACCGUAAGGCCUCGCGCGAUUGGAGCGGCCGAUAUCAGAUUAGGUAGUUGGUGGGGUAAAGGCUCACCAAGCCAACGAUCUGUAGCUGGUCUGAGAGGACGACCAGCCACACUGGAACUGAGACACGGUCCAGACUCCUACGGGAGGCAGCAGUGGGGAAUUUUGGACAAUGGACGCAAGUCUGAUCCAGCCAUUCCGCGUGCAGGAUGAAGGCCCUCGGGUUGUAAACUGCUUUUGUACGGAACGAAAAGGUCUCUAUUAAUACUAGGGGCUCAUGACGGUACCGUAAGAAUAAGCACCGGCUAACUACGUGCCAGCAGCCGCGGUAAUACGUAGGGUGCAAGCGUUAAUCGGAAUUACUGGGCGUAAAGCGUGCGCAGGCGGUUAUGUAAGACAGAGGUGAAAUCCCCGGGCUCAACCUGGGAACUGCCUUUGUGACUGCAUAGCUAGAGUACGGUAGAGGGGGAUGGAAUUCCGCGUGUAGCAGUGAAAUGCGUUGAUAUGCGGAGGAACACCGAUGGCGAAGGCAAUCCCCUGGACCUGUACUGACGCUCAUGCACGAAAGCGUGGGGAGCAAACAGGAUUAGAUACCCUGG
rnacentral:rRNA from 1 species